CCUCCCCACCCACUCUUCAGAAAAGAGCAGGCUCCCUUGGAAGUCAACCCAGCUGGCCGCCUGGCGUAUCAAGUUGUAGUAAGAUGGAAGCAGGAUUCUUAAAGAACUGAUACGGGAUGGGGAGUGAAGACUCCUGACCAGCCAUGGGAACCAGAUGGAUACCUAGGAAGAAGUCACCCCAGUGCCUUGUGUGGCUGGAUAGGGAAGACAGAAUCCUGGAACCAUUUGUGUUGUCUCCGGGGACGGCUGAGUAGAAAAUUGCCUGCCACGCUUGAGUUCGGAGACCCAGAGCGCACAUAAGAGAACCAAGCACAGAAACAGUGAGACAGACGAUCUGAUGUCACCGGAAGGCCAUCGGCACAGCCCGGAAAUGAAAAGACAACGGAAGCGUUUUGGGAUGAAUGGCUGGCUUCUUUGGUGAGUGCCCUACAGGCGUGCCCAGCCUGAGACCCAGACGGUGGACAGUGUUCAGUUCAGGACAGCUAUGAAUGCAGCACAGAAUCAUAACUGUAUUUAAAAACAUUAAGAUUUUAUUUUAUUUUUUUGGAACUCAAUUGAGAGGUUUUGCAGUGUGGACUCAGGGGACACAUGUGUCACAGUGUGCAAAGGUCGGACAUGCCCACCGGGGAAGGAAUGUGGAGGAGGUGAGGCGUGCACACAUUAAAAAAGGCUUAACGGAUAUCACAUGAAGUCAGUAUGAAGACCUCACUUUGUUACUUUCUAACUUAAGUAGAGGUGACAGGUGGCUACAGCAGUGGUCCCCGGAUUGCACUCUCUGCAGGAGGCGUUAGGAAACCACGCCCUUCCGGAUCCGGUCCGAUGGCACCGCAUAAAAUCCGAAGUCAACCGCAGUCUACUGAACUCGUUAACGCUCUCCUCUUCCUGGAUUUGGUGUGAGAAAUUGCUCAGGACUUGAAGCCAGGGUUGAGCGUCGGAAGCAUAGCUGUCCCACGCUGCAGAGCCACGCCUGUGCGGCCAGCCUUUCUGAAGAGACCAAGCUGGGCUCUCUGUGUACCACACAUGUAACAAUUGUUCAAGAAGUCCAGGAGCAAACAUACAGAAGGUGCUUUCAAACCUAUCAGGGUGGGAAGAACUUCAUCUUAAGAGUCCCUUCUCCCAGAUGCUGGCAGUGCGGCCUACUUUCCCACGGAAUUGAGAGGCGCCUAAGUAUAAGAUCAUGAAAAGGAAAUGACACAAAACUCAGGUGCUGUCAGGGUUCCCGUGUUCAUCUGUGUGUGACUGUCUAGAACACAUCCGGGGUCAGGAAGCAUCAACACAAGUCAGACCUGUUUCGUCAUCCAGCUUCUCGUUGUUGUAACAGUUAUGAAUAAGCUUGGUAAAGUCUAUUGGAUAGUGUCAGCAUUCAGAUUUGAACACGAACAUGCACAAUUCUUACUGACAGCAGAUAAACUGUGUUAGUGGCUUUGUUUUUAACCACGGAAUCAGUCCCUCGGUCUGUUCCCUGUGCCCUUCUGUGCUGUCCCAUGUGUAGACAGGUCUUUAGUGUUGCACUGCGUCUAAGUUUGCAAUUAAAAUAGACCAAAACAUUAAAGUGCCUAAGAGUGAGAAUUAGGGAUUUUUAUUUGUUAUCCUCUCAUGAGGCCCAUAAAUUUCUUUCUUUCUUUCUUUCUUCUUCUCUCUCUCUUUUCAUUUUUUUUUUCAAGACAGAGUUUCUCUGUGUAUAGCCCUGGCUAUCCCCCGGACUCACUUUUUAAUUUUUUUAAAGAUUUAUUUAUUUUACAUAUGAGUGCUCUAUCUGCAUGUACACCUGCACGAAAGAAGAGGGCAUCAGGUCCCACUAUAGAUGGCUGUGAGCCACCAUGUAGUUGCUGUAAAUUGAACUCAGGACCUCUGGAAGAGCAGACAAUGCUCUUAGCGACUGAGCCAUCUCUCCAGCCCCUGGACUCACUUUUCUAGACCAGGCUGUACUCAAAUUUACAGAGACAUGCUUGCCUCUGCCUCCCGAGUGCUGGCAUUAGAGUUGUGCCCUACCACACUCGGCAAUACAUUUCUUAAUUUUAAAGUAGGAAAAGAGUUGAAGUCUACAGGAUUCGGUCAUUUUUUUUUUUUUAAUGACUUUGUAGUCUCAGUGCUCAUUAUGUGACCAAUGUGAAUUACUUCACUUCUCUGAGGCUCAGUUAGGCAGGACUAUAAUGAGACCAAGAGCGCUGGUCAUGGAGGCUUUCGUAAGAGCGUAUGUAGAGUGUGCAUCAGGCUCUGUAAGCAGAGGCGCUGUGGGAAUCUAAAGAUGCACAGCUGAUACAGCCAAGAGCACAGGACUCCCCGCACUCACUUGCUCUCCUCUUUCUUCUGGCAACCAAACAAACAGAAAAGGAAUAUUUGCAUGGGAGUCAUUUGGCAGCUAGUAAAACGUGGUUUCAGCAGGGUGCGGUGGUGCACGCCUGUAAUCCCUGCACUCUCGAGGCAGAGGCAGACGGAGCUCUGUGAGUUUGAGGCCAGCCUGGUCUACAAGGCAAACCCAGGACAGCCAAGGCUACACAGAGACACCCUAUUUCAAAACACCAAAAGAAAAAGACAAAGGCUUUUAUCUACCACUUGCUUCCCUAAAUAGAAGCAGGCCUGUCAUUAAUAAUGACGUCGACCUAGUUUCUCACGUGAGUCAGGGCCUGACUUCAGCCUGCCCUCCCCCAUCCACAGGUGGCUCCAUUCAGACUGGCUGAGGUGAAAGGAGGUCAGUUCUUCUGGAAACCUUUUCUAGGAAGGGCAGAGAUAUAGGAUGUGUCAGUUCUUUCUGUUUCUUGGUGGGAGCAUGUGAUGGAAUUGAUCAAUGAAGACAGUAAGUCUGGAAGACUUUAUCCCUUUUGUUCUGUUCCUGUGCCCCGGAAAAAAGGAAAAAAAAAAAAAAAAGCCAGCCUUUCUUAAUACACUAUGCUGGAUGCCGAAGCUAUGAAGGGGAGCCUCACGGUCUAUCAGCUUGGCACACUUGGAGAGACAGGGAGAGAGACUGAGUUCAGCUGAAGGCAUCAAAAUGCUCACAAUAAAAUGGCAGGGGACACGGUUGCUAACCUGGCGAACAUCAAAUGCUUUGGAAGAGACCGACUCUCACCAGGAAAGACAGUCUUUAGAGAGAAGACGGCUUGCGGCUAGGGCCUUGCCGAGUUCAUUGCGGCAGACACAGCCGUCUGUGUUGGCCCUCCAAGACGCUUGCUGUUUUCCCCCACAGGAACCGGAGAGGCGCAGGGCAUUUUGAGAGCACUGGUGUGGCUUCAGCUGUCGUUUGCUGCUCUGCCUGGGAGUUCCUGCUCACGUUUGGAGACAACGUGUGAAAGACGGCCAGUUGCGGUGGCUGCCUGUGAUCUCGGCAACGAGAGGCGACAGCGUUAGUGACUCUGCAGUGUGAAUGUGGCCAAGACAUUAAUGAGUCCUGUCUUGAGCUGGCCUUGGCACAGUUGCUGGGAAUAAAGCAGUAAAACAUGACAACCAGGGGCCCCAGACUCACAAGUUUAUCCGUGGAAACCAGCAAUUAGUUAGAUAAUUACACCUGGAGUAAGCGUUGGGGGCAGAAGCAAGGGGAGCCUGGAGCGGCUGUCUGCGCUUUAGCGAAGUUUUCCUUAAAGAAGUCACAUUUGAGCUGGCCAGACGGAGAGGGUGGUAGAGAGUUGGGGCCAAGAGCCGUGGCAAGCAGGCUGGAGGCGGCCUUCCUAGGUGGCCCAGGAAGCACUGCAGCGGCUAAGGAGGUGGGGGAAAUUCCCUCCUUGUGCGUGGGCCUUGGGAAGCUUUCAGGGUCUCCGCCAUUACUGGGAGCAACACUUGCUUUAAAGGUUGCUCAGAGGACACAAGGAGAAAGGAGCAGAAUGAGAUGAGAAUGGACGUGGGAAGGAAGGUGGGAGGCUGUGAGACUUAAGGAGGAGCCAGUGAAGAAGUGAGGGUGGAGAUGGGGAACGUAAGAUCAGAGAGAAGGGAGGACAAGGAAAGGGAGACCCGGAAAGGGUGUACAGGCAUGUACAGGCCUUUCUCUGGGACAAAGACCUGCAGAGUCUCUGGUACAGAACCAGAAUCCUCUGACAGCUUACAGGUGGGAGUAGUCACAGGGCAGGAGAAGGGACAGGCAGAGUGACAGUUUUCCUUUUUUGGCUCACGGCUGACCUUUGCCGGUGGGAACCAGUGAGUCAGUUAUAGAAAGUCAGAAGGUAAAUGGUCUACCUGUGGCUGGCAAUUCUUAGGGGUUAAUAGGACGAUUGAGGGUAAGCAUAGUAAAAAAAAAAAAAAAGAAAAGAGAAAAAAAAACCAAACCAAAACAAAACAACCAAGUGAUUUCAAUUCUGGGGACCAAAGUACUUUUGUUAAGGAACUAUCAUUGCUUAAUCAAAAUGGAGGAAGCCCUGGCUAACAGCGACAUAGGAAAAAAAAACAAAGGUGAACUGGA